UACCUCAUUGAUUGGAAGGGUUUCCUUCCGGUCAAUGAGGUAGAUGUACCUCAUUGAUUGGAAGGGUUUCCUUCCGGUCAAUGAGGUA
rnacentral:miRNA from 1 species